CUGCUACUAGUGUGUAAAGCAGGAGGAAGUGAGAGAAGUUCAAAUCCAGAUCAGAGAGGAGGAGGAGAGAUUCAGGGAGGAGCUGAGCUGUUACUGAACUAGAAGAGAGAGAAACCUCCACAUUCAACAGAGUUCAACACAAACCAUAAACUUUACCUUCAUUCAACAUGUUGUCUUUGGACUAUUUUGCACUUUCUUUACUGAUUCUCACCAUUCUAACAGGUGUCAGCUGUGAAGAUCUCACUCCAACCAACAAAGAAGUGUUCAGUGUAGAAGGCAGCACUGCUACUCUGUCCUAUAGAUUAUCCAGAGAAGUGAAGACUAAUGAUUAUUUCUUCUGGUACCGACAAUAUCCUGGAAAACCACCAGAGUUAAUGAUCUCUCACUCUGCAUCAGGAGUAAUAGGAUCAGAAAAAAUCCCUGGACUGAAAAUUGAAGUGGGAAAAAACCAGCUCAACAUGAGCAUCUCCUCUGCUGCAGUGUCUGACUCUGCUGUGUACUACUGUGCUCUGCAGCCCACAGUGACAGGAAACAGCAAAACUCUGUACAAAAACCUUUGGAGCAAAGACAACAGAAUACUCCACAACAUCCACUAGAGGGAGCCACACACUGUUAAACCUCUGAUUCUUGUGUCAUUGGACUGAUGACAAAGACAACAGAGAAAUGAAGCAGUAAAGAUCAGAGACAGAGACAGAGCUGCUGUGGAAGCACAAA